GGGUUGUGAGGUUAAGCGAAUAAGCGUACACGGUGGAUGCCUAGGCAAUCAGAGGCGAUGAAGGACGUGCUAAUCUGCGAUAAGCGUCGGUAAGGUGAUAUGAACCGUUAUACCCGACGAUUUCCGAAUGGGGAAACCCAAUAUCCAAUGGAUAUUAUCAUUAACUGAAUACAUAGGUUAAUGAAGCGAACCGGGAGAACUGAAACAUCUCAGUACCCCGAGGAAAAGAAAUCAACCGAGAUUCCCCUAGUAGCGGCGAGCGAACGGGGAACAGCCCAGAGUCUUAAUCAACAGUAGCAUCAGGAGAACGGUCUGGAAAGUCCGGCAGUAAAGGGUGAUAGCCCCGUAUCCGAAGAUGCUGUUAUUGUGAACUCGACGAGUAGGGCGGGACACGUGUUAUCCUGUCUGAAUAUGGGGGGACCAUCCUCCAAGGCUAAAUACUCCUGAUUGACCGAUAGUGAACCAGUACCGUGAGGGAAAGGCGAAAAGAACCCCGGCGAGGGGAGUGAAAAAGAACCUGAAACCGUGUACGUACAAGCAGUAGGAGCCCCAUCACUCAAGUGCCUCGCACUGAGUGAUUGCAAAAACCAUUCGAAAACAGCGCCGCGUUUACCUACAAAGUGGAUUGAUUUUUUCAAGCCGUCGCGCAGUGUACAUAGAAGUACACGAGCAACGGAAGUUAAAAAAUCGAGCCAGUUUGGCAGUAAAAGUAAGCGGGACAUUUGAGGAUGGGGUGACUGCGUACCUUUUGUAUAAUGGGUCAGCGACUUAUAUUCUGUAGCAAGGUUAACCGAAUAGGGGAGCCGUAGGGAAACCGAGUCUUAACUGGGCGAAUGAGUUGCAGGGUAUAGACCCGAAACCCGGUGAUCUAUUCAUGGGCAGGUUGAAGGUUGGGUAACACUAACUGGAGGACCGAACCGACUAAUGUUGAAAAAUUAGCGGAUGACUUGUGGAUGGGGGUGAAAGGCCAAUCAAACCGGGAGAUAGCUGGUUCUCCCCGAAAGCUAUUUAGGUAGCGCCUCGUGAACUCAUCUUCGGGGGUAGAGCACUGUUUCGACUAGGGGGUCAUCCCGACUUACCAACUCGAUGCAAACUGCGAAUACCGAAGAAUGUUAUCACGGGAGACACACGGCGGGUGCUAACGUCCGUCGUGAAGAGGGAAACAACCCAGACCGCCAGCUAAGGUCCCAAAGUCAUGGUUAAGUGGGAAACGAAGUGGGAAGGCUCAGACAGCCAGGAUGUUGGCUUAGAAGCAGCCAUCAUUUAAAGAAAGCGUAAUAGCUCACUGGUCGAGUCGGCCCGCGCGGAAGAUGUAACGGGGCUAAACCAUGCACCGAAGCUGCGGCAGCGAACGUAUCACUUAAAUUUGUUUAAGUGAGAAACGAUUGACGGAACGAAGAGACGUCAAUGCGUCCAUAAAAGUCGAGGCGAAAGCCCGAUAAGCGAAUUUAAGGAUACGUUCGUUGGGUAGGGGAGCGUUCUGUAAGCCUGCGAAGGUGUACUGUGAGGUAUGCUGGAGGUAUCAGAAGUGCGAAUGCUGACAUAAGUAACGAUAAUGCGGGUGAAAAACCCGCACGCCGGAAGACCAAGGGUUCCUGUCCAACGUUAAUCGGGGCAGGGUGAGUCGACCCCUAAGGCGAGGCUGAAAAGCGUAGUCGAUGGGAAACGGGUUAAUAUUCCCGUACUGGUGGUAACUGCGAUGGGGGAACGGAGAAGGCUAGGUUGUCCGGGCGACGGUCGUCCCGGUUCAAGCAUGUAGGCAGAGUGAUUAGGCAAAUCCGGUCACUUAAUGCUGAGGUGUGAUGACGAGCCACUAAGGUGGUGAAGCAAUUGAUGCCCUGCUUCCAGGAAAAGCCUCUAAGCUUCAGGUUACCAACAAUCGUACCCCAAACCGACACAGGUGGUCAGGUAGAGAAUACUCAGGCGCUUGAGAGAACUCGGGUGAAGGAACUAGGCAAAAUGGUGCCGUAACUUCGGGAGAAGGCACGCUGGCGGUAAGUGAAGUCCCUUGCGGACGGAGCCGAAGCCAGUCGAAGAUACCAGCUGGCUGCAACUGUUUAUUAAAAACACAGCACUGUGCAAACACGAAAGUGGACGUAUACGGUGUGACGCCUGCCCGGUGCUGGAAGGUUAAUUGAUGGGGUUAUCCUUAGGGAGAAGCUCUUGAUCGAAGCCCCAGUAAACGGCGGCCGUAACUAUAACGGUCCUAAGGUAGCGAAAUUCCUUGUCGGGUAAGUUCCGACCUGCACGAAUGGCGUAAUGAUGGCCAGGCUGUCUCCACCCGAGACUCAGUGAAAUUGAACUCGCUGUGAAGAUGCAGUGUACCCGCGGCAAGACGGAAAGACCCCGUGAACCUUUACUAUAGCUUGACACUGAACAUUGAGCCUUGAUGUGUAGGAUAGGUGGGAGACUAUGAAGUGUGGACGCCAGUCUGCAUGGAGUCAACCUUGAAAUACCACCCUUUAACGUUUGAUGUUCUAACCUAGGCCCGUAAUCCGGGUCGGGGACCGUGUCUGGUGGGUAGUUUGACUGGGGCGGUCUCCUCCUAAAGAGUAACGGAGGAGCACGAAGGUUGGCUAAGCAUGGUCGGACAUCAUGCGGUUAGUGCAAAGGCAUAAGCCAGCUUGACUGUGAGAGUGACGGCUCGAGCAGGUACGAAAGUAGGUCUUAGUGAUCCGGUGGUUCUGAAUGGAAGGGCCAUCGCUCAACGGAUAAAAGGUACUCCGGGGAUAACAGGCUGAUACCGCCCAAGAGUUCAUAUCGACGGCGGUGUUUGGCACCUCGAUGUCGGCUCAUCACAUCCUGGGGCUGAAGUAGGUCCCAAGGGUAUGGCUGUUCGCCAUUUAAAGUGGUACGCGAGCUGGGUUUAGAACGUCGUGAGACAGUUCGGUCCCUAUCUGCCGUGGGCGUUGGAAGAUUGAGAGGGGUUGCUCCUAGUACGAGAGGACCGGAGUGAACGCACCACUGGUGUUCGGGUUGUCAUGCCAAUGGCAUUGCCCGGUAGCUAAGUGCGGAAGAGAUAACCGCUGAAAGCAUCUAAGCGGGAAACUUGCCUCGAGAUGAGUCUUCCCUGUCACCUUGAGUGACCUAAAGGAACGUUUAAGACUAAGACGUUGAUAGGCUGGGUGUGUAAGCGUAGCGAUACGUUGAGCUAACCAGUACUAAUGAACCGUGAGGCUUAACCUGACAACACCGAAGGUGUUU
rnacentral:rRNA from 1 species